CGCGGUAAUACGUAGGGGGCAAGCGUUGUCCGGAAUCAUUGGGCGUAAAGAGCUCGUAGGCGGUUCAGUAAGUCGGGUGUGAAAGCUCCGAGCUCAACUCGGAGAGGCCACUCGAUACUGCUGUGACUAGAAUCCAGUAGGGGAGUGUGGAACUCCUGGUGUAGCGGUGAAAUGCGCAGAUAUCAGGAAGAACACCAGCGGCGAAGGCGGCACUCUGGGCUGGUAUUGACGCUGAGGAGCGAAAGUGUGGGUAGCAAACAGG
rnacentral:rRNA from 1 species